rnacentral:tRNA from 1 species
GCUAGUGUGGCAUAGUGGUUUGAGUGUUAGACUAGGACACUGGAGUCCAGGGUUCAAUUCCCAGCUCAGCC